UUACAAACCUUACCGAAAGCAAUUGGAGGGCAAGUCUGGUGCCAGCAGCCGCGGUAAUUCCAACUCCAAAAGCGUAUAUUAAAGUUGUUGCAGUUAAAAAGCUCGUAGUUGAAGUUCUGGCUGUAUUGGGCCUUAGCACUUGAUGCGGAGGAACCAGCAGUCAUCCGCUUGCAAAUACAUGUCCUUCCUUAACCGGUAGGCUGUAUAAGUAAGCACUUUACCUUGAGAAAAACAGAGUGUUCCAGGCAGGUUUGUCCGGAAUGCGUUAGCAUGGAAUAAUAGAAUAUGACUGAAGUCGAUUUAUUGGUUUAAGGCUUUAGUAAUGAUUAAUAGGAACAAUCGGGGGCAUUGGUACUUGUCAGUCAGAGGUGAAAUUCUAGGAUUUGACAAAGACUAACUGAUGCGAAAGCGUUUGCCAAGAAUGUUUUCAUUAAUCAAGAACAAAAGUUAGGGGAUCAAAGACGAUCAGAUACCGUCCUAGUCCUAACUAUAAACUAUACCGACUCGGAUUCAGAUGAAUUUUAAAGUUCAUUUGGGACCGUAGGAGAAAUCAAAGUCUUUGGGUUCUGGGGGGAGUAUGGUCGCAAGGCUGAAACUUAAAGGAAUUGACGGUUUUGCACCACCAUGGAGUGGAGCCUGCGGCUUAAUUUGACCCAACACUGGGAAACUCAUCAGGGCAAGAAGAUUUUAGGAUUGACAGAUUGAGAGUUCUUUCUUGAUUGGUCUAGUGGUGGUGCAUGGCCGUUCUUAGUUGGUGGAGUGAUUUGUCUGGUUAAUUCCGUUAACGAACGAGACCUUAACCUGCUAACUAGUACUUUGAUUUUCAAUCGGAGUUACUUCUUAGAGGGACUAUGUGAGUAAUCACAUGGAAGUUUGAGGCAAUAACAGGUCUGUGAUGCCCUUAGAUGUCCUGAGCUGCACGCGCGCUACAAUGACACAUUCAGCGAGUAUUUCCUGACCCGAAAGGGCUCGGGUAAUCUUUUCAGUGUGUGUCGUGAUAGGGAUAGAUCUUUGUAAUUAUGGAUCUUGAACGAGGAAUUCCUAGUAAGCGCACGUCAUCAGCGUGUGCUGAUUACGUCCCUGCAAAAUGUACACACCGCCCGUCGCUAUUACCGAUUGGGUGUAUAGGUGAACCUUCUCGAUAGCCGCAAGGCUAGAAAUUAAGUAAACCUUUGCACCUAGAGGAAAUAAAAGUCGUAACAAGGUU
rnacentral:rRNA from 1 species